rnacentral:sRNA from 1 species
GCUGGGCAUGGUGGUGCAUGCCUGUAAUCUCAACGACUCUGGAGGCUGAGGCAGGAGGAUUGCAAAUAGCCUCAGCAACUUAGCAAGAGACCCUAAGCAACUUAGCGAGACCCUGUCUCAA